UGGCCAACUCUUCUGGAAGGGCUGAAGAACUGUUAUCCCUCUGCAGUACAUGGGGGUUUGAGCUCACGUCAAUGUGCCUGACCUAAGGGCAAAUGGAGCUAAGCAGGAGGGAGAAUUAGACACUUGCCACGGCUUGGAGACAGGGUCUACUGCUCUCUGCUGAACCAGAGGAAAGAACACACUGGCUCCUGAACCUUCGCAGGAAGACAAGGCGAGGGCUGCUGGGUGCCCGUCGCUGCUCACAGCACAGAACGUCCCACUCCUCAGACUCUUUGUCCCCGUCCUAAGACUGUCCUUCACUUGGUCCAUCCAAUCCAAAAUAUGGGCAUACGAAACACACCUCAUCCUUCACACACACAACAUGCUCAACCUUCACUAGCCACGUGACUUUCUUUCUCACAUCAUCCUGAAUUUGCUUUUCUGAAAUUUACUUUUCAAUCUUCUGACUUUUCUUCAUACCUAAGAAGACUGGACAAAGUGCUUGAAAAGCAAAUGGAAACAUUUUAUGAAUAACUACGCAAAGGAAAGACAUAUAAAUAUUUUUAAAGUUUCCCUUCUACAGAAAUGAGCUUAAGUCAACACUACAGUUGCCACUAAGUGUAAGGAUUCGUGAAGGGGAAAACGACGGACUCCCUUCCCUCUGUUCUUCUCAAGUAAUGCAAAUUAGAGAAGAGACGGGGGCGGGGAGAGAAGAGGAAUGCUGAAAGGGCAUUAUGCUUUUGCUAUUUAGUAAAAGAAGUAUCAACAUGCCUUCUGAUGACUCCUGAACAUCCCUUACAAAUGAAGGAGCCACAGAGUGGGGCAACUCCAUGCCUUUAUCACUCAGCCAGCCAAGGAAGAGGAAGACAAUCAAGCCACACUUGACAAGGGACAAGACCAUUCACUUUCAGGGCCAAGGGGAUUAGGACAGAGCAGCAUUUUCCCAUAGUGACAAGAGGAAACAAGAGAAUCGAAAGCAUCUUUCAAUUCCAUUCUGAGUCAAAGAGGUUGUUCUUGCAGCCCAACUGGGAACCUACAUGCAAACCAGUUCUAUGAGAAAAUAUGUCCCCAAAUUCCAGGAUAUCUGCUUCCCAUCCUCAGUUAGCAUACCUCCGUUUUAUAAUGUAAAAAAAAAAGGGAAAUCAGGAUUCACCUAAAUGAAUAUCAAUCAAAUGGAUAUUCCACAACUCAAGUGAUACCUGUGAACCCGAGGUGUUAGUAAACUUAAGGGUCACCAUCUACAGACUCCACAGGGAUGGGAGAUACUCUUGUGCUCCUAUGGUUGGGGCUGCCUCUAUAUCCUUUGCUUUAAAAUUCAGAAGGAGUGAAGAUCAGCUCAGGCAAUAAUGCUGGUUUGUCCCAGAGUCCAGAAUCUGCUAUGUUACCCAGAGUCUCUUAUGCUCAAAGAGGCUGUCAAAGAACGGGGUGUGGCUACCGUGGCCUCCCAGGGGCAAGUGGUCACACUCCAGCCUCACAAAGUGAGCACUGACUGUAGAGGUUCCACUAUGGUCAUGGUCUUAGCAAUAUGCAGGAAACACAGUCCAACCAUUCAUUGUCAUCUGGGUAAAAUACAAUUAAACAUCAAAGACUUGAGUCUCACAUAGUGACAUCAAAAUCUUUCCCUCAAGGCAAAGAAACAACUUGUCACAUGCACUUAAAAGAGGUUCUAUAAGUUAACAUUAGAGAGAGGAGGAGAAGGUACAAAACCCUGGGAGAGAAAAACACAUAAUUCUCUCAAAUUAGUGUCUUCCAUGGGCUGAAAACAUCUAUUAAAUGGGGACUUUGAUCCUAAAGAAAAAACGACAAAAGAAUGUUGCUCGACCUCACCUCUAUCAACUUUCCUCUGUUUCACCUGGAAUGUGUAACUCAGCUGUCCACAUCUUGGACCACUUGACCAUGCUGUGUGAUCCUAAGGACAUAACCCAAAAGGCAAUCUCCAAACUCACGGUGUCGUCACCAAUUCAACAUUUCUAUUUUAAUGUGGGAUCAACUUGUCAUGGUCACAAUGCUGAUUAUGACUUCCAUCCAGUUUUCCUUCUAUACAUGUCCAAACAUGUCACCAACAUGACCCCAUUGACUCGGGACUUGUCAGGGGUGAGAUAUGAAAGGAUUCAGAUCUGUUUUGUUCCUGCGUGGGGUCCCAGAACUACUUCCAGCAGCAAGACAGUUAAGAGACACAUUGGAUGAGGCAACAGCGGGGAAGAAAGGGAGCUGAUCUUGAAUUGGCUGUGUACUGACAGAUUGUAUGAAUGAAAGCAAUAAAAAUAAGCCCCAAAAUCUGGGUUUUGAGUGGAAAAA